rnacentral:rRNA from 1 species
UACGGAGGGGGCUAGCGUUGUUCGGAAUUACUGGGCGUAAAGCGCACGUAGGCGGCUUUGUAAGUUAGAGGUGAAAGCCCGGGGCUCAACUCCGGAAUUGCCUUUAAGACUGCAUCGCUAGAAUUGUGGAGAGGUAAGUGGAAUUCCGAGUGUAGAGGUGAAAUUCGUAGAUAUCGGGAGGAACACCAGUGGCGAAGGCGGCUACCUGGCACAUAACUGACGCUGAUACGCGAAAGCGUGGGGAGCGAACCGG